UACGUAGGGGGCAAGCGUUGUCCGGAUUUAUUGGGCGUAAAGAGCGUGUAGGCGGCCAUGCAGGUCCGCUGUGAAAACUCGAGGCUCAACCUCGAGACGUCGGUGGAAACCGCAUGGCUAGAGUCCGGAAGAGGCGAGUGGAAUUCCUGGUGUAGCGGUGAAAUGCGUUGAUAUCAUUAGGAACUCCGGUGGCGAAGGCGGCUCGCUGGAUCUUUUCUGACGCUGAGGCGCGAAAGCUAGGGGAGCAAACGGG
rnacentral:rRNA from 1 species